UACGUAGGGUGCAAGCGUUAAUCGGAAUUACUGGGCGUAAAGCGUGCGCAGGCGGUUUUGUAAGUCUGUCGUGAAAUCCCCGGGCUUUACCUGGGAAUUGCGAUGGAGACUGCAAGGCUAGAAUCUGGCAGAGGGGGGUAGAAUUCCACGUGUAGCAGUGAAAUGCGUAGAGAUGUGGAGGAACACCGAUGGCGAAGGCAGCCCCCUGGGUCAAGAUUGACGCUCAUGCACGAAAGCGUGGGGAGCAAACAGG
rnacentral:rRNA from 1 species